rnacentral:rRNA from 1 species
GACGGAGGGUGCUAGCGUUGUUCGGAAUUACUGGGCGUGAAGGGCGCGUAGGCGGCCUGUUAAGUCGGGUGUGAAAGCCCGGGGCUCAACCCCGGAACGGCACCCGAGACUGGCGGGCUUGAGACCGAGAGAGGAGAGUGGAAUACCCAGUGUAGAGGUGAAAGUCGUAGAUAUAGGGUGGAACACCAGUGGCGAAAGCGGCUCUCUGGCUCGGUUCUGACGCUGAGGCGCGAAAGCGUGGGGAGCAAACAGG